AGCAGGAGGAUGAUUAUUCAAAGAUCCUAAGGUAUUUUCCUUCCAUUUUAUCUAAUAGGAGCUUUUGGCCUAAUGUAUUUUUCUCUCUUGCAUCAGUUCCUAGUCUGAAAAAAAAAAGCAUAGUGUUUAUAAAUGAAAGAAGAGGUGGUGGGAAGAAUCAAGCUUGGGCGAAAAGGGUAAAAUAAUUUCUAACUUGUUACUUAUGCUAAAUGUAUGAGGUAAAAUAUAUCGUUAUGCUGUUCCUCCCAAAUUGUAAGGAUAUAGUCGAAUAGAAUGGACUUUUAAAUAACACCAGUGAUCUAACUGUGCUUGUCUUCUCUUCCAAGAACCCAGCUUUGAUUUUCACUAUGUCACUAGGAUUUUCCCUGCCUCUGGGUUCGCUUUGAUUGGUGUAUUCUCUUGUUUCAGUGUGGCACUGCAGGGAUAGAAAAUAGAACAAGAAAACAGUGCUCAGAUGGUAUCCAAAGAACAGCUAAUUCAGUAGUGCCCGAUGCCCAGCUGAGGAAGACCAAAGACAAUCAAGAAAAAUCUAGAUGAGAGGUAUUUGCUACAAAAGAGGAUGCCAUCCAGCUGCAACAGGAGUUAAAAGUGCUUUGCUCUAGAAUCAUCCCAGAAAUAUUUGGAAGUAAAGAAAAUCUAAGGAAUGAUGCUAACAAUGUGUUUGAUGGAAGUUAUCAUCAAAUGUUAUUUGCUGGAACACCGAGAGGCGAAAAUCCUGAAUCUUCGAAGCGAGAUCGAGCUUUCUGCGGGGGAAGAGGGAUGGCCUGCCAUCUGAGGUAUCGUGGUUCCCCAUUUUCUUUUCAGCCCCAGAGGUUCCGUUGG
rnacentral:lncRNA from 1 species